AGAUGAUCUCGCGUCUGAUUAGCUAGUAGGUGUGGUAAGAGCGCACCUAGGCGACGAUCAGUAGCUGGUCUGAGAGGAUGAUCAGCCACACUGGGACUGAGACACGGCCCAGACUCCUACGGGAGGCAGCAGUGGGGAAUUUUCCGCAAUGGGCGAAAGCCUGACGGAGCAAUACCGCGUGAGGGAGGAAGGCUCUUGGGUUGUAAACCUCUUUUCUCAGGGAAUAAGAACUGAAGGUACCUGAGGAAUAAGCAUCGGCUAACUCCGUGCCAGCAGCCGCGGUAAUACGGAGGAUGCAAGCGUUAUCCGGAAAUGAUUGGGCGUAAAGGGUCCGCAGUGGCCUUGUAAGUCUGCUGUUAAAGAGUGAGGCUUAACCUCAUAAAAGCAGUGGAAACUACAAGCUAGAGUGCGUUCGGGGUAGCACGAAUUCCUGGUGUAGCGGUGAAAUGCGUAAGAUCAGAAGACACCCGUGGCGGAAAGCGUGCUACUAAGCCGUAACUGACACUGAGGGACGACAGCUAGGGAGCGAAUGGGAUUAGAUACCC
rnacentral:rRNA from 1 species